CCUUCUUCUUCUCUCUGCUUGCCUCUCUCAAAGUCGUGCUCUCUCUUUCUCUCCCUCUCUCCCUCCCUCCAUCUCUAUGGUUCUUUCCCUCUCUCAAAUUUUCUUGCAAAUUUAUAUUGAAUUCAUUGCAUCAGUUUUGUGAUUUAAUGGCCUUUGAUUGCACGUUUUAGUUUUUAAUUGGAGGCUUGUUCUGGACACUGGGGUAGACGGAAUUGGAUCCUCUCUGAGGCAAAUCCUCGGGAUCCUCCUGAUCCAAUGACAUGGACCGUUGAAUUUUAAUCCAACAGCUACAAACAAAGGGCCCCUCUAAAAGUUAUAAUAAUUUUAGCCGUUGGAUCAAAAUCCAACGUCCCGUAUUAGUGGGUCAGGAGGAUCCCGAGGCUUUGCCUCCGAGAGGAUCCAAUUCCGGGAUAGACAUCUAUCUAUUUUAGCCACUACUUUGACGCUCUAGAUUUUUGGUCUGAUUUUGAUGUUUCUUUGCUAUGUGAUGAUGGUGAUGAUUUUUUAGUUCCACUCCAUUUCAUUAGUAUGUUUCAAUCAGUUGGAAGCCGUGUUAAUUGACAAGGAAAACAACCUAAUAGAAAGGCUAACGAGAAUGAAAAUUGCACAUGGAUACAAGCAGAAUUCAAGCUUGUCAACGACCACUAGCACCAUGUGAAAAAAAUUAAACAUGAUUUUAAACAUUCUCGAAAAUCACUUUAAACCAUGUGAAAAAGAAUAAUCAUUUUAAAUAAGUAAUGUCUAAACCAUGUGAAAAAAAAAUUAUACUGUUUAAACUUUCAGGUUUUAGAGAAACCAGUAAUAUGCUACAUGACGAGAUCCACGGGAAGCAUUCUCGAAAGAACUCUUAAAAUGGCCAAAUUGAUCAAGCAAAAGCGAAAUCCACCUUUUGUGGAAAUUUUGCAUGAAAUGAGGAAAAAAUAGAUAUUGCAUUUAGUGCUAAAGUUUUAGGUAUGCCACUUUCGUGCAUCCUCUUCUAGCUGAUGGCACAUAGAAAUAGAGCUAUGGAGAGAGAUCUGGUAUUGAAAAUUCAACCUGCAAAAUUGAUCACAAAAACUUCAUCCAAAAGCGCUUUGACCCUAACCCCUGCUUUUGAUUUAAGCAAUGGCUAAAAUGGCAAUGCCAAGUGGUGGGUCCAAAUCGUGUGCUGGUGCAGAUGUGCUGAAAUUUGAUUGGUUGAUCAUCAGAAAAUGCUGACCAUCUUGUUCUAUAAAUAACCUCCCAAUUCAUCAAAUCUCCUACAUGCCUCAUCAGUUUCUUUCCCUUUAAAAAUAAUCAGUGCACACACAGAUGAUCCUCCCUGUAAUUUUCCACGGCUUUCUUGAACUGUGCAGUUUCCAGAAGAAUUAAACUGGCAGAAAUUUUUCAUGCAGAUACAGAAACAGUUCAAGAAAGCUGUGAAAAACCACCAGCAGGAUCUGAGUUGUUCAUAAAAAGAUUCUGAUUGUCUCCUUCAAGCUUCUAUGCCCUCCCAUGGCUACUGGUUUUCUUCUGCAGUACUUUUGCAGGAAUAUCCUCAUUCCAGCUCUAUAUAACACAUACGCUUUUGUGUUUAUGAUGUGUUUUAGCCUUUUUCUCUCCUUAUGUAUCUUUGUAGGGUUGUGAUUUCCGCACUCACUUUUUCUCCCUGUGUACUCUUUCAUGUUUUUAUUAUAGGGUUUGGAUUGAAUAAGUCAUGGAGAAUCAAGGAAAAGAAUGAACGUGUACAGAAGAAGAAAACGCGAGUGUGAAAUUGCAAGAUUAAACCCGCAAAUUCUUGACAAGAAAGACUUGCACAUGAAUAGUAGGCUGAUCGACAACACAAUUAAAGGUCAACAGUCUUGAAUUCGACGGGCGUACACUCAAAUUAAUCAGUGUAUUAUAGUACCAAAAUAGGCCUUUGAGUCAUUUACAAAGUGCUUUUCCCUAGCUUGAUUCCUCUUGAAGAAAAAAGGCACCUAUGUCUAUGUGAUUGCAACAUUCAUCAAGGCAGACCAUAGGCACUGAAUGAUCAGCUUCAACCUUGUCAUGUUCUUCCUAUGGGGGCUAUGGGAAAAAUAUGAGUCCUUUUCCGUAUAAGAAGGUCGAUAUUAUUAAUAGGCCGGUUUAGGGCAGAUACUAGGCCUGGUUUUAGGCUGUUAGGUCUGUAGCUCUACCCAGGCAUCCACUUUUUGUCAUGUUUGAUUUUCUUUUUGGACGCGGGUUCAGUGCUUUUCACGGACUUUUGCGUAUAAUACAUCAUUGUAAAGCGUUGAAAGUUAAAGUACAUAUGAAUAAAAAUAACACCUUCCCUUUUUAUCCAGAUAA